AGUGAACGCUGGCGGUAGGCCUAACACAUGCAAGUCGAACGGCAGCACAGUAAGAGCUUGCUCUUACGGGUGGCGAGUGGCGGACGGGUGAGGAAUACAUCGGAAUCUACUUUUUCGUGGGGGAUAACGUAGGGAAACUUACGCUAAUACCGCAUACGACCUACGGGUGAAAGCAGGGGAACUUCGGACCUUGCGCGAUUGAAUGAGCCGAUGUCGGAUUAGCUAGUUGGCGGGGUAAAGGCCCACCAAGGCGACGAUCCGUAGCUGGUCUGAGAGGAUGAUCGGCCACACUAGAACUGCGACACGGUCCAGACUCCUACGGGAGGCAGCAGUGUGGAAUAUUGGACAAUGGGCGGAAGCCUGGUCCAGCCAUACCGCGUGGGUGAAAAAGGCCUUCGGGUUGUAAAGCCCUUUUGUUGGGAAAGAAAAGCAGCAGGUUAAUACCCCGCUGUUCUGACGGUACCCAAAGAAUAAGCACCGGCUAACUUCGUG
rnacentral:rRNA from 1 species